UAUAUGGUACGCGUACUCGAGAGGGCGAAAGUGGGACAAAAAUUGGAAUCGUCUGUUUUGGCAACUCUGGCCGGGUGUGUAACUAGAGGGCCUACUUUAACGUAGGCUCUUAUGGGACUACCCCUUUUUAAUGGUUAUAUCAAGGUGUUUGAAUUUUUUUUUUCAUUUAAAAAAAUGUGUAUCGUGCGUAGAAUUAAUUUUUAUGCAAAGUCCAUUUUUUGGAAUUUAAUUUAAAAAUGCUUGUAUAAUUAAAAAAAAAUAAAAAUGGUCCAAGAAUUUCUGAAAGUCUUUAACUUUCCACUUCUGCUAGACUGUUCCACAUUAUAUAUUAAAAGCGGAAUUUGUUCUUUGGAAGGGAUUGCCAUGGUGAUUGCACUGCUCAUCUCCUGCUUGUCGAAGUGGUCAAAGUUUGUAAAUCUGUACGUCAUACCAUAGUCAUACCAUUCUGUAAGUUUUUGUUUAGCUUAAAAAAAUAACUUGUUACCGUUUUAAUGCUUUAUGCACCAUGCCUGCAAAAUGUUGCAUUCCUAAUUGCAAGACUGGAUAUAGCAGUAACUCCAAAGAAAAUGCAAUCAAGGAAUGUCUUAUCCUUUUCUCCACUUCAAAUAAAGAGUUGCUUGUUAAAUGGACAAAAGCAGUUCCUCGUCAAGAUUACGUUUUCACAAAGCAUUCUAAGGUAUGUAUUAAACAUUUUGAAGACACUGAUGUUCUGAAGGGAUAUACACACUAUGUUGAUGGCAAGCCAAUUUUUUCACCAUACAAAAGAUUUCGACUAAAACCUAAUGCUGUUCCCUGCAUUUUCCCCAACUGCCCUCCCAGACAACACGCCUGGUUUUAUUCCGGGAUAAAAGCUGUCGUCUUAAAACCAUGAUGUAGGCCCCAAAAAAGACGUCUUUAAUCAGUUCCAAACUAGUGGUUUUUAUCCAAAACGUGCGGUCCGAAACGGUUUGAAAAGUACAGCUUUUAUCGGGCCCAAACUGGGCUUUCUUUGUUACUUUUUUGGGUUCCACAACGCAUCUAAAAAGACGGCUUUUAUCGGGCCCGUACGUUUUUAGCCGCAAUAGCUAUGGUCUGAAAUCGAUCUGCAAUCCUUUUUUUUUUUUUUAUUUUAUUUUGCGUGGUUUGAACUCGACUCCAGUAUUUAUAAGCUCAGGACAUAUAUGUAUUUAUAGUCGAAACCGUUCAUGGAGCAGCUCCAUGUUAGUUGCAACGUGUGCGCCAUUGACUAUACAUUGUUCAUGUGAAUGUUUUAGAAAAUUGUUCAUUAUAGUUGUUGCAAUUGGAUUGCAAUGGCCUCAAAUAGUGCAAAUGUCGUUGGUCCUAGACAAAAAAGAAGAAGAGUUCAAGCUGAACUUAACAAUAUUGUCUUAGCUAUAGCGUCUAAUUCUGCCACAAGGCAAAGUGCGUCAACAUACAGAGAAGAAGUUUACGCCGGCAGUUCGGCUGUGAAUAUAGGAGUGGAUCCAUCUGGUGGCGAUUCACCUGAUUAUACCUUAGCCGACGAUACGCAAUCCAACAAGGAUUUUCGGGAAACUCUUAAGGUAACAGAAUUUGAUUACGAAAGCGACGCGGUGCCGGUUUACAGUUCCUGCGACGAAUGCGAAGUUUCAAGUGAUGAUGAUUCCACACCUGGUGAAUAUGACUUACUUUCUGGGGUUACGUUUGACAUUAAUGGGUACGCAGCCGAUGACGCGACACCCAAACAAUUCACGGAAAAACUCGCAUCUUGGGCAGUAAAUUUUCGCGUUAAACAAAAUGCCAUCGAUAAUCUUUUGACGGAAGUGCUGCCUGCUGUUCCAUCAUAUGAAGAACUAAACCUCCCAAAAACUUGUAGGACUCUCCUUAAAACACGAAAAAAAACCACUCUUAAAAUGGUAGAACCUGGCCAUUAUUUUCACUUUGGCCUUGUUCGUGGCAUUACGUUCAUGUUAGGCAGAUACGGUUUCCAUUUGAAGGAAAAUAUGCUGAAAGAGUUCCGUUUUCUUGUAAACACAGACGGGCUUCCAAUUGCAAAGGCUUCCGGCAGCCAAGUUUGGCCCAUUCAGUGCAGGUUUUUUGAUAGUGCUAUGGUAAACUGGCCACCGUUCGUACUUGGAAUUUACCAUGGAAAUCAUAAGCCAAAAUAUGCAAAUGACUACAUGGAAGACUUUGUCAACGAGGUCAUUCAACUUCAGCGUUCCGGAUUUGUCCAUAAUGGAAAUUUAAUAAAAAUCUCGGUCUUCGGAUUCACCUGUGACGCUCCAGCGAAUGCCAUGAUCAAGUGUAUUAAAAGUCAUACAGCCUAUGAAAGUUGCCCGAAAUGUGAAGUACACGGCAAGUGGGCGGGGCGCGUCGUAUUAUUAGAAACAUCAGCUCCUGCUCGAAUCCAUGAAAAUUUUAUUAACAAAACUCAAGACGGCCACCACAAUGGUACGUCAUCAAUUUUAGAAAACUUAGGCAUCGAUAUGAUUACUUCGUUUGCAAUUGAUUACAUGCACUGUGUGUGCCUUGGUGUUGUGCGUAAGCUUUUGUGGCUUUGGAUUCGAGGACCUCUUCGUACUAGAAUCGGCCGUCAAAACAUAGACCGAAUAUCGGCUUUAUUAGUUGGAAUUGCAAAUUUUAUUCCGUGUGAUUUCGCGAGAAAGCCACGAUCCUUGAAUGAAUUACCGCGCUGGAAAGCAACCGAGCUGCGUCAAUUUCUUUUGUAUACUGGGCCAGCCGUAUUGAAGGAAAUUUUCAAAGGGAAACCUCUUCAAGAUUUUUAUGACAAUUUUAUGUUGCUUCACACUGGGAUAAAAAUUCUAUCUUUGCCUCAUCUGUGUCAGGAUCCCGUGUUGAAUAACUACGCCAAAGAGCUGUUGAUCGCGUUUGUUCAACACUGUAAAAUAAUUUACGGCGAAUGGUUCAUUUCAUAUAGCGUACAUUGCCUCAUUCAUUUGGCGGAUGACGUCAUAAAAUUUGGCCAUUUGGACAAUUUCAGCACAUUUCCAUUCGAAAACAACAUGAAGAAAAUAAAAGCUAUGAUUCGGAAAAAUGAGCGGCCUUUAAUUCAGAUUGUACGACGCAUCUUCGAAGAAGAAACAAAUGUCACUUCUUCAUGCCAAACAAGCACGGAAAAAACAGUCUUAAAAAAGAAACACACAGGAGGACCAAUUUUGAGCACAGGAGGAAGAUAAUUCAAAGUUCUUCAUUACAAUUCAAUGAUUUUGAAGUGCGAUGACGUGAACAGCUACGUUAUUCUUCAAGAUGAAACGGUUGUAAAGAUUUCAAAUAUCAUUGAGCGCAAUAACAAUGUAACAAUUAUUGGGCAGAAAUUUUACAAUAGAGGAAAAAGUGACGUAUUUUCCACACCGUUACAAUCUUCAAAACUUGGAAUUUAUUCAAUGGAAAAUUCUAGUUUAUCUUGCCAAAAUGGCUGGCCGAUUUCCGCGAUUAAAUGUAAAGCGGUUUGUUUUCCUUAUUCAGCAAAAAACGAAAAAGCAGUUUUUCCGCUAAUGCGCAAGGAAAACUAAUUGUUUAAAUCUGGCAAGUGGCAAGACUACGAAGAAGAAGAGGAGGGGUUAAAGGAAUUGUCACGGCAGAGAGCAGACAAAAAAAUGUAUAUAGUUCAUCAUGUUCUGAAAAUUUUCGUCCUAUUUUCCAUUGUCCCCAUCAUCAGUUGAUUAAAAUUGUACAUUCAUUAUUCGUCGUUGAGUCUAGGCAUCAUCGUGAAGCAAUAACGGUACCCUUUCUUUGAGGUGAUCCACCUUGUGUAAGAAGUAAUAGUGGAAGAAAUGGGAAAGAAAAAGCCACAGCAGAUAGCAGAGAUAAGAAUGCAAACAGUUAAUCUUUUAAAAAGUUUUGCCCCAUCAACAUCACUUGAUGAAAGUUAUGCAUCAGCUAUUCGUCAUCAAGCCUAUUCAUCAUCCUAACAUUCUUUACGGUACACUAUUAACACAGUCAUCGUUGAUGUUGUGGUGGAUUCGUUUCUUAGCAGACCCUUGUGUCCACAUCAGAACGAUGGUGUUGUUUUCUUGUGCGAAUGCCUGCCUAAUGGGUUUCAAAACACCACAUAUGUAUGGUACUAUUGUAGCUGAUGAAAUGGGGUUGGGCAAAACGCUGCGAUGCAUUACAGUUAUAUGGUUAGUGGUGCAAAAGCCAAAAAAAGAAAAAAACUCGUUCGUGACCCCACCGCUAACUUUGCUUCUUCGAGAAAGCCAAAA
rnacentral:misc_RNA from 1 species